rnacentral:tRNA from 1 species
AAUAAAGUGUCUGAUAAAAAGAAUUAUUUUGAUAGAAUAAAAUAUGUAAUAACAAUUACCUUUAUUA